GCCAUAUUAGAUUUCUGAUCAGCGAGUGUGGGCGACUGGCGUGCUUUCUUAUUUCCAGUGUAUAACACAACUGGGAUAUGUCGCCCUCCAAAAGGUCUUUCAGAGUGUCAACAGUCAUGGCUGCCAUAAUGAAGGGUCGUUCCAAACCGAAGUGCUCAUAACUUGCCACUUCUAAAGGACCUUCAUAAUUAAGGAUUUCGAAGGGUACAACUGAUGGUCAAUUCGGGCUCCCACGAUUCUUUGCGCAGUGACGCCGCCUCCUUAUGGGCGCGGGAUAAUGACGCAGAAGGGCACUUCAAGAAACAAUUGUUUGGUCCCCUACGCACUUUUACCCUUCAAAUCUCUCACUCCGGAGGGUAAACCCUUCAAAGGGCUUAGGGAUGAGCCCUUCGAAAUGGGACGCAGGGACAGUAUGGGUGAAGUAGGAUUUUCGACUGGCAAGAAUGAGCGUGGUCAGAGGUUGUUUACUAGCGAAUGUUUUGUUUUACUACGCCUCUCACCUUGAUUUUGCAUACGGUGGUGUGUAGAUAAUUAGAAGCGGUGGAAAAUUUGAAAAAAUCAAGUCAAACUGAUCAACAUUGAACAAAGCUCACUGGCAGUAAAGGGGCCGCUACCAACUACAAUUAUGGCCGGGACACACAGCAUUUAACGUAGCAUGACGUCAGUGCCACAUUCUCUAUAGAGAAAACGGGGAAAGAAAGUAUUUUUUACCACCGUUAUAUCGAGUUGUGUUGGCUUUUUGAGGUACUCCGCAAUGUAAAUAGGUUUUUCUGUUAUAUCACUGGUGUAUCAGUUUCUCCUUUUUAUUUAAAAAGCGCUCAUAUUUGACGUCCAAAAAUCCUUAUUUUCCCAUCAGUGUUAUACGAGCGGAUAUAAGACCGCCGCCCACACUCCCUGAUCGAAAUCAAAUAUGGCGGCUUCGUGCACGUAGGGCCAUUUUUUUAACUCGUACGAUUUGCGGCACACAACUUUUUUGGAGCCAUUCCACUUUUGUUUGUAAAAUUUUGAAUGUUCAGUAAAUUAAAAAUAAAACUUUCUGGUGACGUAUUUGUCAAAAAAAACCAGGUCUGACCAUGCGACACUUAAUCAGCAGCCCAUUGGCUCUUUUUAAAUGACACUGGGUUGACCCAAUCACACGAGAAAGAAUCCAGGGUCAGUGUGCUGUGUCAAUUAGUUAGAAAGAUCACGAAGAAGAAACUUAAAGGAGGUGCAGAGAUAUAAGACCCUUCAGCCAGACACGGCAAAGCAUAAUAACAAAAAUGUAUUAUGCAGGACCUUCGUGAACUUUUGUGGCUGAUGAUGAUGUUCAUGGCCAUAGAAGCAUCGGCAAGCACAGAGAGCUGAUUGGGAAUGAGGAGAGGCAGAAGUUAGUGCAGCGAGAAUGCCCUGGCCUGCGAUGAAUCUCUCUUUUCCGGUCCUCCAGAAUGGCAUACAAGUGGUCGAACUUUUCACACACCUGGGACUUCUGUCGCCUUCCAUUUUCCUGUGAGGAGAACAGAUGUUUAACUACAGGUCUCCUCCAACUGACUGAUGAUGCCCUGGAUCCUGUCAUUAUUACCCACCAUCAUUGCUAUUCCAUCCGUGAGCUCUGUCUGGAGAUGAAAACGUGCGUGAGCAUAUUAACACACAACUGUAAAAAUCAGACACUGCGUAGACCAACGCGCACAAGCAUUGAUGCGAAAUGGACACUUGUGUAGAAGAUUUCUCUGCAGACCGUAGACUCCAUGACGGUCCAGUAUAACUUCAUGCCUGCAGGAUGGACACCUGAAACGGCCACCUGAUGACACUCCUCUGGUGGGAAGGUAUGGAUUUGAAGCCUGCACGGGG